rnacentral:snRNA from 1 species
GGAUGUGAGGACAUCUGUCACCCCAUUGAUCACCAGGGUUGACUGGGCCGAUCUGGCUGGCUAGGUGGGUGUGCCCUCCCUCCCUCACCGCACCAUGGGCAUCCCUCCUGAAGCUGCCUGCUGGCUGAAGAGGGUGACCUUCCCAGAAUAGGGCAGGACUGGUCUUCAGUCAGAGGUGUACCAGUAGAGUGACAGCGGGGUGCUCAAUGCUGAAACACCUCUACCACACCCUCCAAGGCUCAGGG